UACGUAGGGAGCAAGCGUUGUCCGGAUUUAUUGGGCGUAAAGAGCUCGUAGGCGGCUUAGAAAGUCAGAUGUGAAAACUCCAGGCUCAACCUGGAGACGCCAUUUGAUACUUCUAUGGCUUGAGUUCGGUAGGGGACCAUGGAAUUCCUGGUGUAGCGGUGAAAUGCAUAAAUAUCAGGAGGAACACCAAUGGCGAAGGCAGUGGUCUGGGCCGAAACUGACGCUGAGGAGCGAAAGCGUGGGUAGCAAA
rnacentral:rRNA from 1 species